AUCCGACGAUGAGUUCGAUGACACCGAUGAAGAGCUAUAAGCCUAUAAUAUCUUCAGAAGUGCCAGGCAAGCAAAACCCCCUUGUUCAUUCCGAUACAAUCCUACUCUCUCGCUCCUGCUCUCUUUUACUGCAUUAGGACAACAACGUUACAACUGUUACAUGCUGCGGUAGCUGAACCCCUUUCCUCUGUAUGACCUGUCAUUGCCACAGUAAAUAGAUGAAACCCACUAGCAUGAGUAUGAGUUGUUUGAGCCCUGAUGUGCCUACUCAUUCAUGUUUGUUUGUCAUGCCUGCUACUGCUUAGAGUUGAGUCAGGUCUGAUUCAUCGGGGAUGAAUUGGAAUGUGGUGAACAUGUCCUACUGUUGAGAGCUAAGUGUGUGAACACGAUUUUGUAAAGGUAGUGGUGAGAGGCCAUGUAGGAGUACAUGGUGGGUUGUCUCAUUGUAGUCGUCCUCAGGAACUGAGUUCUGUGUUUGUGAUCCAUGAACAGCUACUACCACGCAUUGGAAUGCUUAAGUGCCCCUCUCGACUUAUUAAUCAACCUGAUCUUUGUCCAGGAGUUGCAACUAGUUUUUGGUGUUUGUAGGUAGUGCUAGUAGUCUACCAAGUGGCACCCGGUACAGGUGGGCUUGGGACAGACUAGGCACAGUGGCACGGUGUACCAAGUGGCACCCGGAUGGUGGGCUUGGGAACCCUGCUCACAUCGUUUGGGGCCGUGAGCGACACCCCGGCCGGAUCUCCUUGCGGAUGGAACCCGAAUAGGCGGUAGACCUGGACUAGAGACUUGUUGGUUAGUCAGGUCCUGGCCGACUCCCUCGCCGGGCUUCCGCUUGAAGGUUGCCGAGAUACACGAUGUGUACAUGAUGGUAAGUGGCGAGAGCGUGUGUGAAGAAGUACACCCCUGCAGGGUUAUCAUUAUCUAUUCAAAUAGCCGGAUUCCUCGGAUAUGGAAACUUGGACCCCUUGCAUAGUUCAUAGACAAGUGAAAGUGGAUACUCUAAAAUGCGCAAGAUAAGUGUGAGUGCUAUGGAUGGUGUUCUCGCAGGGAGACGGGAGCGGAUCCAUAAUGGAGUAUUGAUAUGGUGAAUAUGUGGACUCGUGUGCGCCACCGCAAAAGAGUUACUUGCAGUCGUAGUUCAGGAUAGCCACCGAGUCAAAGCUGGCUUGCUGCAGUUAAACCCCACCAUCCCUUUGUUGAUAAUGAUGCAUAUGUAGUUAGUUCUGAUGUAAGUCUUGCUGAGUACAUUUGUACUCACGUUUGCUUAAUUUAUGUUUUGCAGAGAGACUUCAGUCUCGCUUGUAGUUCCGUGUGGACUUCGACGUUUAGCUUGUUACCCCAGCUACGAUCUUGUAUCCUUGGGAGGGUCUUGUAGAUAGUCAGGCUGCUUGUAUGCGAUGUAUGUUGGGUCAUGAGACCCAUGCUUGUAAUAUCUCUCUCCUUGGAGCCUAAUGAAUAAAUACUCUGAAUCGUAGAGUCUUGUUGUGAUGCCAUGUUGUAUUGCACAUAUUGAGCAUAUUGUGUGUAUGAUUGAAAUGCUUGGUAUGUGUG
rnacentral:lncRNA from 1 species